AAGACUAGAGCUCUUGGAGUCCUAGGGCUGGUUCAAAGCUGGGAACGGUAACUUUGAUUCCUUUUAGAAUAAUCAAAUUCCUUGCAGUUUAUUUUAACAUCUUUUUGUGUCUCUCUCCUGGGCAGGACCCUCCCACCUCCUGACGAGGACGCUAACCAUUCAAAGGAAUGAAUUUCUAAUGGUGGAACUUCAAGUACCUAGUGUGACCAAAGAUGUUUUGGGACAGGAUGUUCUAACCUGUGCUCUUCAAAUGAUUGACUAGGUAGCCUCUCCUACUUUGCCAUCUUGAGAGGUUGGCUCUGCCCUUUGGAACUUCAGAAACAUCUGGCUCAUUGUCUUUCUCGAAGAAAGAGUUUGCUGUCCCUGCUCUGAGCAAUGCAGCACCUUGCUGUAAGGACACGUAUAUGGAGUGUCCUGGGCCUCAGACGGUCCUAUGGAAAGGCCAAUAUGGAGAGGAGCUGAGGCCUCCCACCCAGAGUCAACACAAGCUUGCUAGUCAUGAGGGAACCUGCAGGAAAGUAGAGUCUUCAACUCCAGUUAAGCCUUCAGAAGAUUGCAGCCUUACCUGCCAUCAGCCUGUGUCCUCAUGAGAGACGCUGAGCCAGAACCAUCCAGCUAAAACAAUAGCUGAAGCACAGCCAUAGGAGAUAAUAAAUGACAAUUGU